AUAUAUAAGUAUAUAAAUCUUUUUCGAAUACAUUUGGGUAUCUGAAAUACUACAGUUCGGAUCGGAUUCGGUUUCGGUUCUCUAAACAUCAAAAUUUUGAAUAAUUUAAAUAUUUAAUCAAUUUUGGUUCGGGUUAGGUACUACUCUUUCGGAUCGGGAUCGGUUCGGUUCUUCAGAUUUGAAUUUUUUUUUUCAGCCCUAAUAUUGAUAUGAAAAACAAAUAGCAAUUUAUUUUUAAAAAAUAUAUUCGCACGGGUGUGCGGGUCAAAAUCUAGUUUAUUUUCUUAUUUUAGGAGUCAAGGUCAACUGUGACAAAAAAAGAAAUUAAAAAAUCAAUUAUUGAACAUAUAAUUUACUUGGCGUAGAAACAAUAGAUUUUAGAAGAAUACACAAUAAACGCAGAAAUAAUUACACGCCCAAUCUUUCAUUUUAUGCUUGCAAUCUUGUUUCUCUUUUCUUUACCAAGCAUAUAAUCUUUGUUAAUCAUCUUUUUGUUUCUAUAUAUAUAUUUAACAGUUUCUGCUUUUAUAUCUUUAAUUGAUCAUUUUUUCCAUAUUUUUCAUAAAUUAAGUUUCUGCUAUAUCUUUUAAUCACUCUCUAUCAUAAUUUAUUUCACAACGUAGCCCUGAAGCCCAUAUAAGGGAGAUUCUGUCUAAAAUGGUAACUGAAACAAAUCCUCACUUCAUAGAACAUUCUGGUUCAGUUUACAGAUUAAGGCAUAAAAGAGAAGUAAAGCUAAAGAGAAGUAAAUCCUUUUACAAAAACAAAGAGACUCUAGAAAGGUACUUACUUACUUUGGAUAUAUAUAAGUCUAUAUGGUCACAUAUGUUAUAUUAUUAAGACUUGUUUUGUUUCAAUAUGAUUCAGGUUUUAGAUGUUCGUCCUGUGAUAGAAUGGAACAAAGGAAAAGCAGUUGAGUUUCUGUUGGAAUCUCUAGGAUUAAGCAAACGAUGAUUUUCUACCAAUCUUCAUAGGAGAUGACAAGACUGAUGAGGAUGCGUUUACGGUACUAAGGGAGAAGAAGCAAGGAUUUGGAAUCUUGGUAUCCUCUGUACCAAAAGAAAGCAAUGCUUUCUACUCUCUUAGAGACCCCUCAGAGGUGAAGAAGUUUCUCAAGACUUUGGUGAAAUGGAGAAAGAUGGAAGACUCUACAAGUCAUUUGAUGAUUUGUGUAGGAGUAUCAGAAGAAGCUUCAUUCAACUCUUGCUUUCUAUUUUUUUUUCACAUUUUAGCUUUCUAUAUCUUUAAUAGUCUCUGCUAUUAUAUCUUUGAAUUGAUCAUUUUUUUUUCCAUAUUAUCCAUGAAUUAAGCUGUAUUUAAAAUCACACUCUUUUCAUAAUUUAUUUAAACGCUGAGAGAGCACAUAG